rnacentral:pre_miRNA from 1 species
GUGUGUGGGAUGGUGUUCAGCACCAGGGACAGAUGUGUUUGCCUAUAUCUGGAUGGUGUUCAGCACCAGGGACAGGUGUGUUUGUGU